rnacentral:lncRNA from 1 species
GAAUUGGUGAAAAUUUUCACCAUGUGGAUGAUCAUUGAUCUAUCAAACAAUCAGUUUGAAGGGGGUAUUCCAAAGGUUAUUGGGAAGCUUAACUUACUGAAAGGGCUCAACCUUUCUCAUAAUAACCCUAAUGGUGAUAUCCCCACCUCAAUAGGGAAUUUGACAAGUCUUGAAUGGUUGGACCUAUCUUCAAGCAGUUUGUCUGGGACGAUUCCAAAUAGAUUGGUAGAUCUGCCAUUUCUUUCGUCCGUAAAUUUUCUGAAAAUCAACUCCAUGGUCAGAUUCCUCAAGGCAAACAAUUCAAAGGAAAUAAGGGACUAUGUGGAUUUCCGGUCUCAAAAGGUUGCAACAUCAUUGAGCCAGCACCUCCAAAUGUGCUUGGAAAAGAUGGCUCAAAAUCAAACAUUGCUUUUGGUUGGAAAGUGGUGUUGAUAGGUUAUGGAUGCGGAGUAGUGUUCGGAAUGUUCGUGGGAUAUGUUGUUUUCCAAACUGGAAAGCCGAAAUGGUUGGUGAAUUUGGUUGAAGACCAACAUGAGAAUAGGCGAAGAAGAAAGUCAAAGAAAGGCAAUUGCAGCAGUAGACGAAGAAGGAUCUAAUUACUGCAAAUGAUGGUGAAGAAUUAGUGUUGUAUUUUCAUAAUUUCUUAGUCUGUAGACCGUUUUGCCUAUGGUGAAGGGUUGCAUUGGUAUGUGUCUGUCUUUAUUAUUGUACCAAUUCCUCUGUCUUUCAUUGCAUUUCGUACUUUCAGUAAUGGUUUGUUUGAGUGUAACAUUUUGUAUGGUGGUGUUGUUUAUGUCUUCUUUCAUGACUUUCAAUUUAGUCUCGAUAAUCUUUGCUACUGCUCAGUAAAGGAGAAAGGAGAACAAAAUGGCGCAAUGAUCUCUGUUGUAUUUUCAUAAUUUUUUUACAAGUUAGCAGUAAAAGGUUUGGUUAUAUGGAGAAAGUAAUAAUAUAUAGCAGAGUUGAAGGAAUGAUAUAAUGAAUUGAAACAUGGAACAAUGCAGACUGUAAAAGGGUACAUAUAGGUUGCUUUAAUUGCUAAAAUGGAAAGACUGUAAAAUGGAACAAUGCAGAAAUUGGUGUUGUUAUUAUGGAGUUCAAAGGUUAAUAUUCAUGCUUGUAGAUUUGACGCGGAAUGUAGAUGAACUGAAGGCUGUUUUGGCAUUAUGCCAAUUUCCACAUUCAUACAUAUAAAGGAAGCAAGACCAAGUCAAUAUCAUCAACUCUAAUUAUUUCACUUCUUUCUUUAGGGAGUUCAAAUGGUGGCCCGGAAGGAGUGAAAAUGUCACCUAGAAAGAGGGUAUCACAUAUCAAAGCACGAAAGUCGUCAUAAAAAUUUUAAAAACAAGGAAGAUUGAGCCAUCAACAGUGUUAUUGUGAAACCGAUCAUAAGGUAUCGCAAUGCCCAAAACUCCCAAGGAUCCCCACGACUGUUGUGAAUUUCGCGAUACCAAACUUGGUAUCGCAAUAUCAUUGAUGAGAGGAGACAAAAUAUAACAGUAGGGUAAUCCUUUUCCAACAUGUCCCCUAACCAAAAUUAGAUGAUCAUGGACAAUUUGGUCACUAUUUUUGGAUCUGUAAUUUGCUAGAAAGGGCAAAAAAUUGGCUGAACAAAAGGCAACACUUAACAUUUCAUGUUUUUCAAUUUUUCUCUUUAUUUUUAGAGUUUUAGUUUUCUUCUCCAUAACUCUAGGGUUUAAUUCAUGUUUUCUUUGAGUUUUUCUUGGUUCCAAUAAUAGUAGUUAGUUAAGUUAAUUAUCACUGUAGCUAGGAUUUAUUGGCUCGUUUAGUACCUUUAACUCUUUGUAUUUUCAGCUUAAUCCUUGGUUUUAAUAUAAAUAAAUUCCCUUCAUCAUUAAAAAUCUAUUUUUAGGGUUUUUUUUUACAUUUCCUUUGCUACCAUUGUAAUUGUUUUCAAGCUUUUCUCAUUUUUCUCAUGUUUUCUAGUUAUGCCUAUUUUGUAUGAUUGUUGUAUUUUUGUUUGUUUAAAUAUGAUUAUGGGUAACUAAAUCUGAAGUGAAAUUUGGCAUUAUGAAAAUGUCCAACAUUGCUUGUGGAUUAAUUCAUUAAUUCAUGUCUAUGUUUUAUUUAUUCAAAUGAUUAAUAGCUAAUUUGAUCCUUAAAUUAUAGUUCAAAAAGUAUUUUUAUAUUUUCAAAUUUUCAUAAAUAUAAUUGUAGCAAAAUUUAAAAAUCUGAAAAUAAAUAAAAAUUUUAUAUAAAAAAAUCAAUUGGUGCAAGAAAAAAAAAUUUCCAACUACUUUUUCCACAUCCAAUCUCAUAAAUAAUCAGUCUUUGAACUUUCACAAAAAAAUAUUAAAUACCCAUUUACUUUAAUUCUGCUCGUUUUUCAUUUGCUUUAUUGAUGUAUGCUCUCUUCAUAUUAUCUUUCUUUGCCUUUUUUUUUCCUCCUUUUUCAUGUAGAUCUGCGUCGACUCUACUAUUCUUGGAUCAUUAUAAAUAUAAUAUAUUUUUUUAUUUAUAGCUGAAAGUAAAACAUUGAGUUGAAAUUUGGCAAAAAAAAUUGUGGGUUUGGAGAAGAAGAAGAGCACUUCAUAUUUAAAUUUAAAAAAUCUAAAAUUCCAAAAUCGAAAGUUAGUCAAAACCCUAAACAAUCUAAUAAUUGGGGUUGUAGAAAAGAAAUAUGGGUUUAGAAAUAAAUAAAACAAAAUAAAUUUGCAAAACAAUUUCUAGGCAAAACAGCAUUAAAUUAAGGACUAAAAUAUUUUUUUUUAUAAAGCUUAGAGUGAAAUGAGUUUUUGGGAAACUGAAAAAAAAGUGAAAUGGGAAUGUUUGUACUAAUACACAUGGCAUUAUUGGACAGUAGACAAUAACUAAAAUGUUGCGUUAAUUUGUUUAUUGGACAUUCUUCUGCAAUGCUUAGAAAAUUUUAAUAUAUGUUUUAUUUUUAAAAUUUUUAAAAUUUAUGCUUCUUUUUCUUCUUCAGGAUCUCACUCCUGCUCUUCAUUAAUCCAGUUCAAGAACUCUUUUUCCAUAAUAGAGGAUGCUUCUUCUUAUUGCAAUGAUUUUGCUGGCCUUAAAUCUUAUCCCAAGACAAAUUCAUGGAAGGAGGGUACAGAUUGCUGCUCAUGGGAUGGGGUCACUUGUGACCACCUAAAUGCUCAUGUUAUUGCUCUUGACUUGAGCUGCAGUUGGCUAUAUGGCAACUUCCCUUAGCAGCCAAAAAAACCCAAUUGAGAACUGGGUUCCAAAUCAGACAAGGCAAAAGCCAAAUCAUCUGGGAUUGGUGGAGAGUGAUGUGUCAGAAGAAGAAGAAGAGGAAGAAGGGGUUUGAGAUGUGACAACUAUUGCACUGCAUUGCAGUCUGCAAUUGAGAACUGGGGCCUCCUGCUUAUUUAUAUUAACUAUCCACUACUCGUUAUUGUCGUGUCGUGUGAACUUAUGAGGAAACAUAGUGCUUUCAUUCUGUGCUUCGUACUUUUUUACUACCAAGGAGGUGCAGUUAAAUUGUACUAUUAGCAGGAUUAGAGGUGGUUUAUAGGGAGUGUGUUCUUUUAGUGGGUAUGAACUCUCCCUUUCAUAUUAAUUGGGUUUUAUUAUUUUGGCCCAAAGGUGGGGAUUGUAGUGUAUGGAUAUUAUUAUUAUUAUUCACAGUGGCAACGCCCACCUCGUCUACCAAACGACAAAUAUAACCUUUGAAAUUGACCAAACUUUGUUCGGUCAUAACAUUGACCAUUGACGACAAGAAAAGUUUGUUUUCCAUUAUAUCUUAACCUUUGAAGCAUUGUAUGUGGCCACCCACGUAGUCAACUAUUUAUGUUAUGUCACGACAAAAACAGCAUCCUCCUUUGUCUUUGAAAUUCGACAUUAAUAAUGGAGUUCUUUUUGCACACAUGCAUUCUAUUUAUUAUUUUGAAUACAAUUCUAAUCUAGAUUUUUGGCUUUACAUUUUUUUUAUUUAAUCAUCAAGUUGUCCAUGUUCUUUAAUUUUUUUUAAAAAAACUAAGUUGCAUUUCCUUUUUUUUAAAAUUAACGAUAUAUUGAAAUCAUUAUUGAAAUUAUAAUCAAAAUUAAUACAUGUUCUUUUUAUUAGCUUAAGGGCAUAAAAACCCUUCAAAAUUUUCAAAAAUAAAAAUAAAAAUUUAAGUCCCUCUUUUUUUUUUACACUUAAUUGAGCAUUUAAACUUUUAAAAUGUAUCAAAAAUAUCUUUACACUUCUUAAAAAAAGCAAUUAAAUCCCUAUUUUUUUCUGCUCAAUUGGGUACUUGAACUUUCAUAAUGCAUAAAAAAGGAUCACAUCCUUUAGUUCCUUAUUUUACAUAUUUCAUUGCGGAUGAGGUUGUCUUAAAAGAUCUUUCAUACCUCAUUAUAUAUGUCUGUUGCAAAGAACUUUUGGUUGGUUAUCUCAAGCUUACAUUUUUGCCACAUGUUUGCUUUGAUGCGUGUUGCCCGGAGUCUUCUCCAGAAUGAACACUUACUCAUAGAACCUUAUGUGAGUUUAUUAUUUCAAUGAUUUAGAAGUACACGAACUAAUGCAAAUAUGCUAGUGGUUUAUUUUCCACCUAUCUGAUUUUUUAAAAUGUUCUUCAGUUACACCAGUUGAUGCCUUCUAUUAUUACCUGCCUCGUUGCAAAAAGGUUAGGAAAUAAAUUCACCGACAAUCAUUGGGAACUUAGAAACUUCGCAGCAAAGCUAGUGGCAUCAAUAUGCAAAAGGUGAAGAUUUCUUUUCUUUUGGACUUAUACAUGCAUUUUCGUUUUUAUGAAUUUCAGAUGUCUGAUUUUUUAGUUAUAAACUUGGAUCUAUUCUUCAAAUCAAGUGUAUAUCAUUUUCAUGCUAUUUCACACAUGCAAAACAAAUGGUGCGAGCAUGCAUGUUAUAUGCAGAAUACAUAGAUUAAUUACGUGUGGAUCAUUAAGCAUGCCUAUGUUUGACCAAUGUGUGUGGCUACUUUUUUUUUUUACAUGAUCCAAUUUUCGAUAUGCUUUGCUUUUAGGUUGAAUGCGGAAAAGAUUAGAACUUAAUUUCCAGCAUAAUGAUUUGUCUUGGAUAUGCAGAUUUUUACAUGCAUUUCUUACAAGUCAAUAUUUAUAGAUUUGGGCAUGUUUAUCACAAUCUUCAGCCACGUGUGACAAGGACACUGCUCCAUGCUUUUUUGGACCCAACGAAAACAUUUCCCCAGCAUUACGGAGCAAUUCAAGGGUUAGCAGCCCUUGGACCCAGCGUGGUAUAAUUCUAAUCUCAAAUAUUUACUAGCAACACAAUAAGAUACUUGUUUGUGGGAUCAAUUGGUCAAAGAUAUUGCAAUGAUAGCCAUCUUUUUGACAGAAGUUGAGCACUUUCCGUGGAAUAAUAUUGCAGUUCUGGACUUAAGCUCCAAUUUGAUCCGUGGAAAUCUUCCGAUUCCAGCUUCGACAAUCAAUGUCUUUCUGAUCUCAAAUAAUAGUUUCAAUGGAGAGGUCUCUUCUUUAAUAUGCAAUGCCAGUUCUCUUCAAAUUCUUGAUUUAUCCUACAAUAACUUGAGUGGAACAAUUCCGCAAUGUUUUGGAAAUUUGAGCGACAGCCUUGAAUUCUUGAAUCUGAAGAAGAACAUGUUUUAUGGGACGAUUCCUCCAACAUUUGCAGAGGGAUGCCAGUUGACUAAUUUCAACUUAAAUGGAAAUCUGUUAGAAGGGCCUUUGACACCAUCCAUCCUUAAUUGUAAUGAUCUGGAAGUGCUAGAUCUUGGUAACAACAAGAUCAAUGAUACAUUUCCUCAUUGGUUGGGAAGUCUUCCAAAGCUACAAGUUCUUGUAUUGAAGUCAAAUCAUAUGCAUGGUUCCUUGCGUGUCAAUAGCUCCAAGUCUAGCCCUUUUUUCUCUAAAAUCCAAAUUUUUAAUCUCUCAAGUAAUUAUUUUUCUGGACCCCUACCUGUGAGAUACAUCAACAGCUUCAAGGCUAUCAUAAAUCUAGAGAAGAUUCGUAGUACAGUGUCGUACAUGGGGGUGAAUAAUCGGAAUGGUAGUGGCUUCUAUACCUAUUCCAUUGGAAUUGUUAUGAAAGGACAAUAUAUGGAAUUGGUGAAAAUUUUCACCAUGUGGAUGAUCAUUGAUCUAUCAAACAAUCAGUUUGAAGGGGGUAUUCCAGAGGAUUUUGGGAAGCUUAACUUACUGAAAGGGCUCAACCUUUCUCAUAAUAACCUUAAUGGUGGUAUCCCUACCUCAAUAGGGAAUUUGACAAGUCUUGAAUGGUUGGACCUAUCUUCAAACAGGUUGUCUGGGACGAUU